UACGUAGGGUGCAAGCGUUGUCCGGAAUUAUUGGGCGUAAAGAGCUCGUAGGCGGUCUGUCGCGUCUGCUGUGAAAACUCAGGGCUUAACCCUGAGCUUGCAGUGGGUACGGGAAGACUAGAGUGCGGUAGGGGAGAGUGGAAUUCCUGGUGUAGCGGUGAAAUGCGCAGAUAUCAGGAGGAACACCGGUGGCGAAGGCGGGUCUCUGGGACGUAACUGACGCUGAGGCGCGAAAGCGUGGGGAGCAAACAGG
rnacentral:rRNA from 1 species